UUCAGAUCGCAGUCUGCAACCCGACUGCGUGAAGUCGGAAUCGCUAGUAAUCGCGGAUCAGCAUGCCGCGGUGAAUACGUUCCCGGGCCUUGUACACACCGCCCGUCACACCAUGAGAGUCGGGAACACCCGAAGUCCGUAGCCUAACCGCAAGGGGGGCGCGGCCGAAGGUGGGUUCGAUAAUUGGGGUGAAGUCGUAACAAGGUAAC
rnacentral:rRNA from 1 species